CACUCCAUUAUCCUUAAAUAGGUUUGUCACUUUAAGCAGAUUCUACGUUUCUUUAAUAUUCUACUCUUAAAAGUCAUUACUUUAGAUCAUCGAUUUAUGUCCAGUAUAUAUCAAAUGUACAUUCUGUAUAUAAGAGUGUCCGAUAUCUGUCUUAUAAGACUUACAAUUCCUGAAGUCAUCUCUGGCACCCAGGUCUCAAACUCCACUUCCACUCAAAAAGGUCCUCAGCAGCUAACCUAUUUGACAAAGAAUGAUUCUGAACCAUGCUACUUUUGAUGAAAGAUGUCACAAAAUUAACACUUAACUGUGUCUCACAUUCAAAACUUCCUCUAGGAGGGACAUCAGAAUGAUACCUUUUGCUCCAGUUGUUCUCAAAUUCACAUCUUCUGUCCAUGGGGUCUGUAAUGUCACCGUUUCAUAGAAGAACUUCAGUGUCUCUCCUUUUCCCUAUGGGAGCAUCAACACUCCACAUCUACUCACAAGUAUUUCACCUUUUUUCUCUGUAUAGUGGACAAGAGCACUUUCACCAAAGGCCCACAUUGGCCUGAAAUAUCUUAUUUUGCCCAAGGCGUACUCAUGCCUGCACUCUCUUGUGGCCAUCAUUAGCACUUCUUCUCUUGAUUUUGUGAGCCUGCUAUAUCCCAACUCUUUAGGAUUACAUACAAACUUAUUUCUGCUACAUGUAUUCUGAGACAUUCCUCCAUGGAAGAAAGGGGUGUUGAUCUUUUCUUGUCUGACAAAAGUCUUCAAAGCCCAAAGACAACUGCUGGAAUGAAAUGCAACCUAUAGGACUGAUGGAAGAAUUGCUACCUGGACUUUCAAAUGGCAUGAAAAUAUAUGGACAUUCUAAAUACUGAAAAAGAAUAGGAAGCUGAUCAAGCAAUACUGGAUCUUCCUCUGCUCCACGAGAAUUCCCAGUGAUGUCCACGGUGCAAUAACAACUUUUUCCCAUGAAGUCUGGUAUAUUACCUUUUUGAUGACUGACACAACAGUCCUACUUCUGUAGGUGUCCUUUCACAUGCAGAGGAAUGUGUAGAUGGACAUAUAUUUGAAUAAGAUACUGAACCUAAGACUACUGCAUUAGAGCCUCGUACAAGAAUUCUAAGACUGUUGACUGCCUACCAUGGAUAUUCAGAGAUCAAGAAGUGGUCAGAAGAAUUUCAAGUACAAAUUCAGAUGGCUGGAAAGAGCCCAGUCUCUCUAACAGGCAUCUGCAGAUACUACCUUUUGAGGAAUGAAUCCUUCUCAGGAGACAAUAGACGGAACCUGCACUUCAAUGAUAAUUAAAUGGCACUUCAAGAUAUCAAAUCAAAAUAUCAAAGUGAGAAUGGAAUAAAUUUAUUAGUACAGUGUUUUGCAAACAACUUCUUUCACAAACAGCCUUGGAAGGAGAAUUCUGAAAUUUUGCAUUUCAUAUUUGACUUUGCUGGUACUCUGACAAAAUCAACUCACAACUGUUUGGGGCUUUAUGGGCAAUUAAAUACUACAAACAGAGCUGAAUGAAUCAGUGCUCUGCGGUAUGUGUUAAUAUGGCUACAGUGAAGAACAACUAUGCUUAAGCUAUUCAUCUGUUUUUCAAACAGCAUCCUCAUGCAACUGUGGACUUCUGUGGGUCGUUGGAUGGAUAGGUUGAGAACACUGGCUGAGAGCUGCAAAUGCAGAAGUGGGAUGGUACAUGAUUGGAUCAUGAAAGGCCUGUGUGUAGAUCAUAAACAACUUCACAAUAUUCAAUACUUUAAUAAUUACUAGGAAGUAGACUUCUAUAAAAUGACUUCAGCAGACCAGCAUGGUAGAAAAACAGUAACUGAUUCCCUGGAGAUUUAAAUCCACUGGAUUGUGAAACAUGGACUUAGAGGUAGAGACAUGUCAGCACAUGAAGACUGGAUAAUGAAACCACUGUUGUCUCUUAAGUUUCCCUAACCCAUGGUUUGAGGCCAACAGCAACAGAUUUUUUGCACUGAGGAAUAGAAUAAAAGCCAAUUUGUUGAAAAUCCCAAUCAUAAGAAAAUACUGAAAUCAUCUGUGACAAACAUCAACUCUCAGCAUGGUUUCAGGAUGUCUGAAUGUCUGCUGUCAGCAUGGGCUUUUACUGACAUCCCUUUUAUAACUGCAGAGCUCCAAUCUGCUUCAGCCACAUCAUCAUCUCUUAAUUCUGUUGCAGGUAGAUUAGAUCACUGUGUCUGCCUAUGCAGUCUUUCUCUACAUAUAAAGACCCAAGGAACAAAUCUCACUCCAGGCAGCUGUUGAAAGUAAUUUUGAAUCACAUUGGUGUUGUUAGUAGAUGUAAUGUCUUCAAAUCCCAGAAGACCAUGUUUGCAAAGAAGUUGAUUGAGGAAGUCUUGGGUAUUUCUUUCAUAGGGGCAGGUGGGAUCGAUGAACAGGACCGCUUUCUCAGACUAGAUCUUGCAGUUCACAUACACGUGAGCCAUGCUGACAGGGUGCAGCUUCCCAGAAUAGAAUGUUCAGUUGAAGAUACUGGUCUGUUUGAGAGUGGCAAACCCAAUGUAUUCUAAACCAUGCAUUCUAGUUGAAUCCCUAUAGAAAACAUGGAAGAAAGAAGCAUUUACUUUUUCAUUUUUGCACUAACAAUGCUACCAAACACUCACAGACAUUAGAACCUGCAUACUGAAGAUGUAUCCAUAUACAAAUGACUAGAUGUGACAUCUAGCCUUUUGAACUAAUAAAAUAAUGGAUUCUAGGACUUUAAAAAUAGUCAGCCAGUGUUAAAGUAUGUGGUCCAUAGUGUGUGAUAAUUGUGACUAGUUCGAUAGCUCUGUACAGAGAGAUUCACCCUUUACUAUCUCUUAGGGAACACGAACUACUACACCAGGUAUCUAGAGAAGACCUUUUACUGCAGUUUGAGUCUAGCAAGAGUUUCAGCUCAGUUACAAAUUUCCAAUGGCCACAUACCCUUAGUCUGAUAUUCAUACGCUGCUUUGAUACAGUCCUACUUAUAUUCUAUAGUUCUUGUCAACCGAAUUAAAAGAGCAUUGUAUCCUAUUAAAGAAAUGCACAGUAAUUUAUUUGCAUGAGUGCAGCAGAGAGAAGGAUUAUAGGAUAAACAAGAAUUGGAAAGCAAGAUGUCCUUCCUUCUGAGGACCAAGACCAGGAAACCUGAACUACAUAAAAAUCUGAAACAAGUUGUCUGAAGUUUGUUCUUUCCUUCAAUCAUGGGGCUCCUAGUGAAGGAGCUCAGUUCUCAAGAGUUGGCAAAAAUUACCUUUAUUGCUGAGCCAGGACAAUUGCUGAAUACUUCAUUCAUGGACCUGAAGAAACUCUGUAUCCAUCCUGCUAUAAUAUGUAUAUAUCUAUGUAUCAUUCAUAGAAUGGACACUUUACUGUUGGUUUGAAAGCAACAGUUUGUCCCUGGAGAGACACAGAUUUCUUCUUUCACAAAUUAUUUCACAGUCUGAUGGUGGGUCUCAUAAGUUCAUUCCGGGAUUUGCUUUACAGUAAUCAUUCAGUGAUCUGGAAGAAACACUUAUUUAAUGUUGUGAGAUCUACUAGAACAAUAUCAACCAUCAUUUUCCCUUCCCAGUUUAAUUCUGAAUCAUUCUCCACUAAAGGUCUGUGGUCUCUGAUGAAGGCAGCAUCUCCACAGACUAGUCUGAAUAUUGCUCUUAGCACUGCAUUUAUGAUACAUCAAUGUGAUUUCCUUACCACUCUCAUUCCCUAGAGAGUUUUUCAAUUCAUUUCAUCUGAUGGGUCUAAUGUACAUCAUCACCAAGGAUGAGUUUUGAGAGUUUUGCUAAAAAAUUUAAAAAAAGAAAGAAAUAAUAGGAAAGAAAAGAAAUAAAGGAAAACUGCAAGCUUAUCUCACCAAUUGACUCAGAAAUCUAAAGUUUUAUUCAGUGGAAAUAAUUGUGGAAAGUCUGAGAUGAUGAUGUUUCAACUAGAAGCACUUCUCUCUCCAGGAAAUUAGUGUAAGAGUGAAACUGCACUAUUGGUAUCCAAAGAAUGGAGGAGUUUACUCUGAGCAGACAACACAAUACUUGUCUUUCAUUUCUUACUUAGGACAUUUUUAUAAUUGACAAAAAGAAUAAAUGCAAUGAGCUCUCAGGAAAACAUCUGUGACCUUCCAAAAACUUUGGAAUAAAGAAAUGAAUGAUAUAAAAUCUCUCACUUCCAGGAGCCAUAAGAACUGCGAAGUCCAGAUGUUUGUGAGAGGCUCACAGCUUUUGAUUCCCAUAUGUGGAAGGCUCAGAACAAGUCUAUCUCUUCAGUGAUCCUACUGAUCUCCUACCAAGGACUCACUGAGCUUUCCCAAGGACCGUGUAUUUCUUCCUUUUUUUAUACCAAGACAGAAGACCAGCUUCCUCCUUCCCAUCUCUGGUCUCUUCAUCCUCUUUCUUCUCACUCCACAAUGGAUACUCUGAAUUAGAGUUUAAUUAGUAAAUACUAGAGGUACUGAAGGGAUAUCUGGAUGGAGUUGCAGUAACAACAACACUUGUGACAUCACUGAAGAAGCUAGUCCUCUCCAGGUUACAAUAGAUGUUUCAGGGAGGGCUUCAUGAUUAUGUCAUUGAGAUGUUACCUGUUAAAAAGCUUUCCUUACAUUGACCAGAUUCAAAGGUGCCCAUUCCACAUAUGUCUCCUGUGACACAGGGGAAACCUUUAUGUACUCCCUCUCUCUAAAGGUAGAGACUUCUCUUUGCUUUAUUAGCUGUUACUUGAGAUGGAGAAAGUAUGUCAGGGGCUUGCCAUGGGUAGAAGAUUUAGGAACAUGUAGUGUAGGAGAUAAUUCUAGAUAAUAUUUUUAUUCCCAGGUUCAUUCCUGAGACAUAGAGUUCAAUUUUCUUCGUUAUCUAUGUAUCACAAAGGCCAGUAUUUUCCGUGCAGACCUUUAAUUAAAUGAAUAUUGUAUUUCACUUUCUUAUUGUACAUUCCUUGACAGGGGAAUUCAUAAUUAUUCCUGAAGGUGUACUCAAAAAUUCUGUUUUCCAAUUCCAUUUUCUGCAAUGAUUUUGACAACAAAGUGUGCCCAUCUUUAGAGUGAGCAUAACGGUAUGAAUACUGUGUACUCACUUCUAAUAUUAAACUCCUAAAUGCUUCUUUUAUGUAAUAAUUACAAGGCAUCAGCAAAGCAAAGGGCAAGAUGGGGUACAGAAUUCGGUUCUAUAGUCCCAUUUGAUAUCAAUUCUGCACUACCUAUCUUCCUGUGUCCCUAUGGCCAGACUUAAGGGUUUUGGAUGUUUUAUCAUUAUUCUUUCUUAAGUAGAAACCUUAGAUACCGGAGGAUAGGCAGGGAGAAAAACGGCAUGGUUAUCAGUCAAACCUCAAAUUCAAUAUGUUCAUAAUACAGGAGGGAGUCUAUUUGACAUUGUCAUUUCUGAAUUCUACAUUCUUGACCUAGUUGGGCAGAUUCUAUGUUAACAUUCCAACUAACCACCUGGCUGUAGGAGCCACAAAAAGUAUAUAUAUACAUCUGCCACCAAAAUGAUAUAAAAUUGAUGAAGCUAAGAAGUGCAUUCUGCCAGGAACCGGAUAUAGACAUUUCCUGAGAGACACAGCUAGAAUAUGUGAAAUACAGAGGUAAAUGAUAGUGACAAACCCAUGAACUGAAUGAAAAUGGACUUCUUGUGGUAAAUGUUGGGAAAUGAUUACACGAUCUGAAUGGGGCUUUAAUCCCCACAAGGACAAUGCCAAUGAAUGAAACCUUUCUGGUACUAAAUCAAUAUUCAAAGACUGCACAUGGACAGACCAAUGGCUUCAACUGCAUAUGAAGCGGAAGAUACCUUCGUGAGCACCAAUGAAAGAAGAGGCCCUUGAUCCUCCCUAGGUUUGAUUCCCAGUUCAACGGAAUGUAAAGAGACAGUAAGAUGGGUUAUAGAAAAAGGGGAAGGGGACAGGUUAGGGCUCUUAUGGACAGGAAACUGGGUAAGGAAAUUACAUUUGAAAUGUAAUUAAAGAAGUAUCCAAUUAAAAAAGCAUUAAAAAUUCCUAAAAAAAUGAUAGAAGUAAAAGAAAAGAAAACUAUCAAUGAAUCAUACAUAUUGAUGCAGAAAUCUAAAGGGUAUGUAUCAGGGAAUGGUAAUCAGAGUAAUACAGGUGGAAAGACUGAGAUGACGAUGUAUUAACUAGAUGCACAUCUCUGUCCCAAAUAUCAGUGUCAGAAACAAAGUGCAGUAUAGGAAUCCAAAUCAAGGCGGAGUUUACAUUGAGCUGAGGAUACAAUACUUGUCAUCCCUCCUUCCUUAGGACCUUUUUAUCCUGGGCAAAAAGAAUGAAAGCCAUGAGCUAUCAGAAAAACAACUGUACACUUCCUAAUA